AGUAAUGUCUGGGAAACUGCCUGAUGGAGGGGGAUAACGACUGGAAACGGUAGCUAAUACCGCAUAACGUCGCAAGACCAAAGUGGGGGACCUUCGGGCCUCAUGCCAUCAGAUGUGCCCAGAUGGGAUUAGCUAGUAGGUGGGGUAACGGCUCACCUAGGCGACGAUCCCUAGCUGGUCUGAGAGGAUGACCAGCCACACUGGAACUGAGACACGGUCCAG
rnacentral:rRNA from 1 species